CAUUAGAGAUGCAAUUAUGAAAGUCCAAGAACUUCCUGUAGCUGUAAAUUUUGUUCUUAUUCACAAAAGGUUCAAAGACGGCAACAAAUUGUGCUUUGUUGAUACAAAUAAGAUAAUUUAAUCUGUGGAUUUAUUUUUUGGAUCUAACUCCCCUUAUAUUCCAGUAGAUUGCACUGAUCAUUAGAACAAUUGGGGGGUACUCAUUUUCACAAAGUGUGUAGUUCUUGCUUUGCUCCUUUUUCCUGUCUUUUUGGUUCUGCUUCUUUCUCUGCCACCAGGUAAAUCUUUAUCACUGUCAUUUUCAUCUUCUUAUAUAACUUCUUUGUGUUUUUCUGAUGUGACCUCAAGAGGAUCCUUUGGAGGGUUGUCUGGAAUCUGGUUACCUUCUGUGUUCUCCUCGGCAUUCUCACUAUUUCCCAUGGAGUUGGAUUCUGUAGCUUCUUUAGGGAUAUUGGUAUCUGAUGCAUCGCUAUUAGUGAUGGUGUUCUCCUCUUUGUUUUCCAUUCUAUUGUCAACCAUUUGAUUAUUUUCCAUCCCAUCCUUUAUGUCAUUAUUUUUGGAUUCCUCAUCUUCUGUUCAUAUAUUCCCCUUAUUUUCCUUAUCUUGUUCAGUGCUGCUAACAUUAGUAGGUUCUCUGUUGUUCUUCUCUUUAAAAUUGUUCAAGGUGUCAUAAGUACUUUUCUAAUCUAAUUGACUAUCGAUGGGCUGCAAAUCUUCAAUUCUGGAAUCAUUGUUGUUCUAUUGGAUCAAUGAGUGACUUUUUUGUGUCUUUUUCUUGGCUGCUCCUUGUGAUGUUGCAGGUUUGAAUAUCACUUUGUUCUUAUUUUUUGGCAUCUUCUUGGUUUUGGUCUUCUUGUUCUUUUUCUUGUUAGUAACAACAAUAACUAUUUGUCCCUCUUCUUCGUCAUUGACUGUAGCUUGAUCUCCCUGUUUCUCUUUAGUAACUUUUUGAGCAUUCUUUUCCUUAAUGCCCUAAAGAAUCUUGGCAAGAGUUUGUUCCUUCUCUUCAGACUUUUGUUGAAUUUUUUCUAGAUUUUUGCAUGUUGUUUGUCGUGUCUCCUUCCCCCCUUCAAUCUGAUUAGAGUUAGUAUCCUUAUCGUCAGUGAUGUUUUUUCCUUUGUUAUUUUCAUAUCCAUCUGGCAGCUUUAUAAAUUUCCUACAUUGCAGAAUUGAGUGCCCUAGCAACUUACAAUGUCGAUAGUACUUAGGGACAUUUUCAUACUCCAGCUUUUGGGUAAAACCUUUCAGCGGAUUGGUCUCAUAUUCCUGACCAACAAACACCGACUCUAGCUUAGGUUUAGUAAGGUCUACCUCCACCAUUACCUUAGCCAUACUUGGUCUCGUUGUAUGAUCAGUAGCCAAAUCCAUAGAUAAUGGAGUGACAAUAGGUCCAACAAUCUGCUUAACGUACUGCCAAGUGUGGCAAUGGAAUGACAAUUCAGGAAGGAGUACCCAAACCGGAACAAUAGGAGAGUCUUCCUCCAGCUUGAAAUCCGGAGGUCAUUUUUGCAGCCACAUAACUUGCCCCUCUAUUUCUAUGGAGCGUCUAUACCCAAUCUUGACAUUGCCCUUGACAAUAACUUUUUCAGCAAAUUUGGAUCGAAUUCUCUCUAUUUGAGGUCGAGUUCUUAGAAACUUACCGACAAUGGUCAAUCUGCAUUCUUCUGCCAUGAUUCCAUAGUAGUCGCUGGCCUUGAAGAUAACCGCCGGCAUUCCAUUGUGGGUGGAGUAUCGAGCUUUAACUUAUGGAUUACCAAAUUGACUUAUGUUAGGGCUUGGUUCUUUCGAAUCUUUCAAAGCUACAACAUAGUUGGAUGAGAUCGGAAUUCCUUCGCACAUACUAGUUGUCAUGUCUGGAGUCGGUGGAUUUUCAUUCAGACGCGCCGGAACAUUUCCCGUCGACGUCUCCAUAAUGAGGCGAGUAAGCACCAAUCACUCAAAAGAGGGCUAUUUUAGUUACCGUAGUAGGUUAAGGUAUUGAGGUACAGAGAGCAAUAUUUUUAAGAGAGAGAAAAGUUAUAAAGCGUUAGUAAUACACUACUAAAUUAAUAUUCUAGUUCAUGACCUAAUCUAAACAAACAGAAACAAGUUUAUUAUUUUCACAUUUUAACAUAGAUAUGGGUGGUGGGGUACAAGGGAGAAAAUGAAGGAGGAGACAAUGAUUUUGAAAUUAAAAGUUAACGAGGGGAUAACAUAUAUUACUUGGAAUUAAAAUUAAAAGGUGGCUUCAAAGUGGGGUAACUUUUGAUAAGGCAUGAUUGUCGUUAUUCUUUUGGUAUGUUUCCCUCUUCUCACAUUCCCUUAACAGCCACCGUGUAGAAAAACUUGUCCACCAUCUGCUCGAUAAAAACAAAGUUUUUGUAAUUGUGAUUUGUUACGUCAAUGAUUUUCCUUUUGACUUUAAUUUAAUGUAAAACUAUUUUAAUGUCGGUAUUGUUAUUCAGUAGCUUCUGUUCUUUCAAGAUUAAAAGUGAUGUCCAGGCAAAAGCUCUAAUUUCUGCAAAAACAAAUCUGAGAUUGGGGCUAAGAGUCUACUGAAGAGAAACCAUGGAUGAAUAUUUUCAAGAAAAAGGGUCAAAGGAACCUUUAUUAGAACCCAAAGAACCAGUGGUGGCUGUAGAGCAUGUAAGCUCUGAGCUUGAAAACAUAUUGUCUGACACAAGCUUGUCCAAUUUCGAGCAGCUUGGCCGGGCCUCUGUCGUUGAAUUGAAAAAUCUAUUCCGACUAGCAGCUCCAUCAAUCAUUGUUUAUUUGCUCAACAAUAUCACUUCUAUGUCUACCCAAAUAUUCUGUGGCCAUCUCGGUAAUCUUGAACUCGCAGCUGCUUCCCUUGGCAAUGAAGGUAUUCAACUCUUGGCUUAUGGCGUCAUGUUAGGGAUGGGGAGUGCAGUGGAGACACUAUGUGGGCAGGCAUAUGGAGCUCACAAGUAUGAAAGUCUUGGAAUAUAUCUUCAAAGAUCAACUAUUCUCUUGAUGUUAUCCGGAAUACCGAUAAUGGUGGCUUACUUAUUCUCAAAGCCAAUUUUAAUCUUAUUAGGAGAAUCAGAGAAAGUUGCAUCAGCAGCUGCAUUAUUCGUUUAUGGUUUAAUUCCCCAAAUAUUUGCUUAUGCUGCCAAUUUUCCUAUCCAAAAGUACUUGCAAGCCCAAAGUAUUGUAAAUCCUAGCGCGUAUAUAGCUGCAGCGACAUUAGUCCUCCAUCUUUUCUUAACAUGGAUUGUGCUUUAUGUAUUUGAGUGGGGAUUGUUUGGAGGAGCCUUGGUUCUAAGUAUUUCAUGGUGGAUAGUAGUCAUUGCACAAUUUAUGUACAUAUUGUGGAGUGAUAAAUGCAAGAAAACGUGGAGCGGAUUUAGUCUGCAAGCAUUUUCUGGGCUGUGGGAUUUCUUUAAGUUGUCAGCUGCUUCAUCUGUGAUGUUGUGUUUGGAGACGUGGUACUUUCAGAUUUUGGUUUUAGUUGCUGGUUUGCUACCAAAUCCUGAAGUGGCAUUGGACUCUCUAGCUGUUUGCAACACAAUUCUUGGAUGGGUGUUCAUGAUAUCUGUUGGUUUUAAUGCGGCAGCAAGUGUAAGGGUGAGCAAUGAAUUGGGCGCUGGACAUCCAAAAUCAGCUGCAUUUUCAGUUGUGGUGGUGACAUUAAGCUCGUUCGUGAUUGCUGUAGUCAUCGCCAUAGUAGUAAUGUUGCUUCGCGAUGUGAUGAGUUAUGCAUUCACGGGCGGGGAAACUAUUGCUAAAGCAUCCUCAGAACUUGCACCACUCUUGGCUGCCUCUGUAGUUCUCAAUGGUAUUCAACCUGUUUUAUCUGGCAGUAGAGUCCAUGUACUUUUUAAGGAAAAUGGAGGAACAAGGGGUGGCUGUUGGGUGUGGAUGGCAAGGUUUUGUGGCUUACGUUAAUGUCGGAUGUUACUACGUUGUUGGCAUUCCAUUGGGUGUUCUUCUUGGUUUCAAAUUCAAACUCGGAGCUAAGGGAUUAUGGCUGGGCAUGUUUGGAGGAACAGCCA